UCGUCAAUGUUUUAUUCUAAUAUCAAUUUCACUUUGUCACGCCAUUCCUUCCCCUAGCUCCCUCAAAAAUUUUCAUUCCCUCUCUCUGUUGCCCAAACCCUCAAACCAAACCCCUCUGUUACCACAACCUCUUCUCCCAAAUCCUACAGUGGCUACCUCUUCUCCCACCCCAAACUUUUCCCUUCAUUCUUGACAUUGAUUUUCCUCUAACCCCCAGACACGGUUCAAAAUAAAAAGACAAGACAAGACGAUCGGGACUAAUGCCAUUUCAAAAUGCACAAAAGAGAGAGAAAAAGAAAGUGUGCUUUUUGAAAUUUUUGUAUCAGAAAUUGAAUACAGUAGUAAAGAUGAAACCCCCAUUUGUUGAGUUCUAGAGAGAGAAAAUCAGAAAUCUAAUUCAUACCUUGCUCCUCUAGAUCCUACUAGCCAAAGUUCUAUUUUAGGGCUCAAUUUCAAUUGAUCCCUAACUAGCAAGUGUGAGUUCCUUCGAUUCGACGACAAAUUCUCCGUUUAGGAUCCAUUGAUUGAUUCAUCCAUGGCAGCGAUUGAGGACUUGUUAGAACUCUCUGAUUUGAUGCGCCAAGCCAUGACACUCCUCCCCGACGAAGACGAUGACGAAUCCUCCAAUUCCUAAAGACUUCCACUUUCCUCAAGAUCGUUGCACUAAAAAAUGUUGGUGCUAGUAAAUUCGCAGUUCUCAACAGUUUGAUUAGACAUCCCGUUUUGGUUGAAGAAAAUUUGGAUGGUGGACAAGGGAAAACUUCAGUUUAGCGUUUCUUUUCAAGAUUUUGUACACCAAUAUUUUUUGAG